UACAGAGGUGGCAAGCGUUGUUCGGAAUUACUGGGCGUAAAGGGCGCGUAGGCGGUUUCGUAAGUCCCGUGUGAAAGCCCCCGGCUCAACCGGGGAGGGUCAUUGGAAACUGGGAAACUUGAGUGCAGAAGAGGAAAGUGGAAUUCCAAGUGUAGCGGUGAAAUGCGUAGAGAUUUGGAGGAACACCAGUGGCGAAGGCGACUUUCUGGUCUGUAACUGACGCUGAGGCGCGAAAGCGUGGGGAGCAAACAGG
rnacentral:rRNA from 1 species